GAGAAGGUAGGAAUACUAAAGAAUUGCUAAUUCUUGACCCCGUGGUUUAACUCCCCGGCCCUCUCA
rnacentral:tRNA from 1 species